GAGUCCCUGCCCGGGUCUUCCUGCCUCCACGUGGCGAAGCCGCACCUGAAGCCCCACCUGGUCGCAAAGGCUGGUGCAGGGGAAACCGUUGGUUCAGCUGCGGUUCCUGGGAAGGGGGUGCCGCUCUGAUCACGCGCACUUCUGAUUCCCCUCUCGGGGCUCGGAAGCGGCUGAGGGCUCUGGACCCGGUCUCCGAGGCGUGAGGCGGUGGGAGGGUCGGCGGCCGCGUCCUCCACGACCCUGGGGAGAAGUCCCAGUUUCCGCGCAGCCGACAACGGUUGGACCCCGUCCCUCCGGCUUCACUGGGCACCGUGGGGGCAGAACCCGGCGGCGGCUUGGGGUGGGGGCGGGACCACGAUGGAGGGAGUCUGUUGGGCGGGACCUCGAAAUGCCUCUGCUCGCUUUCCUCUGCAUUCAUGCGGCUUGUACGAGGAUGCGCUGUUUCCUGGUGGUUUGUUAUACGGCAGUAGAUAACUGAUACAUCUCUCUUCACUACUUUGUUUGCGUUUUUAUAGGUCAGGGUCUUCCUCUGUCGCACAGGCUGGAGUGCAGUGGCUCGAUCACGGCUCACGGAAACCUCCAAUCCCUGGGCUCAAGCGAUCUUCCCUCAAAUUCAACAGUAGCUGGAACUACAGGCUCGUGACACCACAGCAGGCUAAUUUUUAAAUUUUUCGUGGAGAUGGGAGGUCACACUAUAUUGCCCAGGCUGGUCGCGAACUCCUGAGCUCAAGCGAUCUUCCCUCUUUGGCGUCCCAAAGAGCUGAGAUUGCAGAGACGGAGUCUCCCUCUGUUACCCAGGCUGGAGUGCAGUGGUGUGAUCUUGAUUCACUGCAAACUCCGCCUUCCGAGUUCAAGCAAUUCUCCUGCCACAGCCUCCCGACUAGCUGGGAUUACAAGCACGCACCACUAUGCCCGGAUAACUUUUUGUAUUUUUAGUAGAAACGAGGUUUCACCGUGUUAGCCAGGCUGGUCUCGAACCCUUGACAUCAAGUGAUCCGUCCGCCUCGGCCUCCCAAAGUGCUGGGAUUACAGG
rnacentral:lncRNA from 1 species